CAAUGACUAUGAAUUUGUAAAUUUAACCCCAAGAUACUGAUUAGUAGACACUAGAUUUUGGGCUUAUUCUUUUGUACAUUAUUAGCACAGGAAAGGAAAAGGGCAAAAAAAAAAAAAGGAAAAUUUUUGUAUAUGGGAUUGCUUUCUACAUUGGCUCAUUCUUUUUCUAUUUUGAUAUGCAUUCUACCUCAAACAUAUUGGAGGUUUAUUGUACUAAGCUUUAGAUGAGGGAAGGAGAUAGAAUGCCAAGUAAUUCGAGCAUAUU